GCUCCACAUCAAAGUUCACAGAAUUUUUAUCCUCAGAUGUGACACUAGCAGUAAUGUCUUCCAAGAUAAGGAGCAACUCUUGUUGGAUGUGAACAGCGGCAUCAGCAAUGAUUUGAGAGUUUCCAGAUGAAGAAUGAUAAUGUAAAUCACUCUGGUUGGCAGCCGCAUGAAUCCACUCAUUAUCAAUAAAGGCAUUUUGAAGAAGCUUGAACAAGGGACAAAUGAGAGAACCUCUGUUUUCCAUGUCUUUUUUCAACAGCAACACAUCAAGCAGAGAACCAACAAAAGCAACAACGUUUCCACCUCCCGGAAUAAUAUCAAGGCAAACAUCACGAUUAUUGCAGGCACUUCUUUUCUUUCUUUUCUUUUCAUGCUUUGACCCAUUUGACCAAACUUUCUGCUCACAAAUGAAAUCAAGUAUCCGACUAACAAUCGAGCAAGUGAUAUUAAUGCGAAGCAAGGCUUCUCUUGUGGCUUUUUGUAUAUCCCCAUUGGCACUGCGAAACAAGAGCACAAGAUGCCGAAAGACAAGAUCCUGAGUCUCAGUCUUCAGACUUGCAUAGAAGGAAUUGCUAAGAUCCCCAAGGACAGUCAUACAAGGCUUCAGAAUAGCAGGGUCUCCGGACAACACAUCACUGACCUGCAAGGCUUUUAAUACAGGGUCCAAGACCUCAAGGUCGCCAACAGUUGUAGUAGAAGGCUUUAUACAAAACUCCAGUAGAAUACAAAGAAUGGUGACUUCAACUUGUGACAACUUAUGGCAUGAUUUGUCAAACCCAAUAUGACACUUCUGACGUCUAUCAAGAAGAUCAAGCAUUAAUGAUUCAAUACCAUUAACACGUAUAACCGUAUGCCCCACGCCUUUGAGCAGCGACAAAAUCUUUAGCUUUGCAUAUGCAGAAUAUCUAAGGGCAG
rnacentral:misc_RNA from 1 species